rnacentral:rRNA from 1 species
GGGAACCCCCACCCCGGCUCGCUCAUUCCCCCGGGGCUGUUUUGUGCCCUCGCGCCCCUUCUGCGCCGGCCUCCCCCCACGCGGCGGUUCGGCGCUGACGCUACCCCGCUGCGCGUGAUCUGCCCUGCACUUCGGGAUACGCCUGGCGCACAACUGGGUCUAACUACCGGCAUAUGACCUCCUUAUCGCCAUGGUGGCGUGGUGCGCAACACGCAUUUAUCGGUGCAGCGAUGCGGCCCGCGGCCUAUCAGCUCUUGCUUCGGUGCGCGGUAACUGGCCUACCACAGGCCGACGAACGGGUAGCCGACCUGAGAGGGUGACCGGCCACACUGGGACUGAGAACACGGCCCACACUCCUACGGGCAGGCACGCAGUGGGGAAUAUUGCACAAUGGGCAGAAAGCCUGAUGCAGCGACGCCGCGUGAGGGAUGACGGCCAAGCCAAACAUUUGGAGAAAGUGUGUACCCUGCUUCGCGUUCACUGCCAUGGACUGUCUUCUUUCGUCCGGCUAACUACGUGCCAGCAGCCGCGGUAAUACGUAGGGUUGCAAGCGUUGUCCGGAAUUACUGGGCGUAAAGAGUUCGUAGGCGGUUUGUCGCGUCGUUUGUGAAAACCAGCAGCUCAACUGCUGGCUUGCAGGCGAUACGGGCAGACUUGAGUACUGCAGGGGAGACUGGAAUUCCUGGUGUAGCGGUGAAAUGCGCAGAUAUCAGGAGGAACACCGGUGGCGAAGGCGGGUCUCUGGGCAGUAACUGACGCUGAGGAACGAAAGCGUGGGUAGCGAACAGGAUUAGAUACCCUGGUAGUCCACGCCGUAAACGGUGGGCGCUAGGUGUGGGUUCCUUCCACGGAAUCCGUGCCGUAGCUAACGCAUUAAGCGCCCCGCCUGGGGAGUACGGCCGCAAGGCUAAAACUCAAAGGAAUUGACGGGGGCCCGCACAAGCGGCGGAGCAUGUGGAUUAAUUCGAUGCAACGCGAAGAACCUUACCUGGGUUUGACAUAUACCGGAAAGCUGCAAAUUAGUGUGGCCCCCCUUGUGGUCGAUAUAC